AGGACGAACGCUGGCGGCGUGCUUAACACAUGCAAGUGGAGCGACGAACCGGGGCUUGCCCCGGGGCAGAGCCGCGAACGGGUGAGUAACACGUGGGUUACCUACCCCGAUGACCGGGACAACCCGAGGAAACUCGGGCUAAUACCGGAUGUGGUCUUCGGACGAAAGGAAGCUUCGGCCUCCGCAUCGGGAUGGGCCCGCGGCGCAUUAGCUUGUUGGUGGGGUAACGGCCUACCAAGGCGACGAUGCGUAGCUGGUCUGAGAGGACGAUCAGCCACACUGGGACUGAGACACGGCCCAGACUCCUACGGGAGGCAGCAGUGGGGAAUAUUGGACAAUGGGCGCAAGCCUGAUCCAGCCAUGCCGCGUGGAUGAUGAAGGCCUUAGGUUGUAAAGUCCUUUUAACGGGGAAGAUAAUGACGGUACCCGUAGAAUAAGCCCCGGCUAACUUCGUGCCAGCAGCCGC
rnacentral:rRNA from 1 species